rnacentral:rRNA from 1 species
GGGCACGACACCGGAGAGGGAGCCUGAGAAACGGCUACCACANCCAAGGAUGGCAGCAGGCGCGCAAAUUACCCAAUCCCGACACGGGGAGGUAGUGACAAUAAAUAACAAUACGGGGUUCUUUAGGAUCUCGUAAUUGGAAUGAGUACAAUUUAAAUCUCUUAACGAGGAACAAUUGGAGGGCAAGUCUGGUGCCAGCAGCCGCGGUAAUUCCAGCUCCAAUAGCGUAUAUUAAAGUUGUUGCAGUUAAAAAGCUCGUAGUUGAAUUUCGGGGUUAGUAGGUUGGUCAUGCCUCUGGUAUGUACUGGUCUCACUGAUUCCUCCUUCCUGAUGAACCGUAAUGCCAUUAAUUUGGUGUUGCGGGGAAUUUGGACUGUUACUUUGAAAAAAUUAGAGUGUUUAAAGCAAGCUAACGCUUGAAUACAUUAGCAUGGAAUAAUGAAAUAGGACGUUCGAUCCUAUUUUGUUGGUUUCUAGGAUUGACGUAAUGAUUAAUAGGGAUAGUUGGGGGCAUUAGUAUUCAAUUGUCAGAGGUGAAAUUCUUGGAUUUAUUGAAGACUAACUACUGCGAAAGCAUUUGCCAAGGAUGUUUUCAUUAAUCAAGAACGAAAGUUAGGGGAU